GAUGAACGCUAGCUACAGGCUUAACACAUGCAAGUCGCGGGGCAGCAUGGGGGUUGCUUGCAAUCCCCGAUGGCGACCGGCGCACGGGUGAGUAACGCGUAUCCAACCUGCCCUUCACCACGGGAUAACCCGGCGAAAGUCGGACUAAUACCGUAUGUUGUCCAUUGACGGCAUCCGAUUUGGACGAAAGGCUUGGCGGUGAGGGAUGGGGAUGCGUCCGAUUAGCCAGACGGCGGGGUAACGGCCCACCGUGGCUACGAUCGGUAGGGGUUCUGAGAGGAAGGGCCCCCACACUGGAACUGAGACACGGUCCAGACUCCUACGGGAGGCAGCAGUGAGGAAUAUUGGUCAAUGGGCGUAAGCCUGAACCAGCCAAGUAGCGUGCAGGAUGACGGCCCUAUGGGUUGUAAACUGCUUUUAUGCGGGGAUAAAGUGGCCCACGUGUGGGCUUUUGCAGGUACCGCAUGAAUAAGGACCGGCUAAUUCCGU
rnacentral:rRNA from 1 species